UGGGGAAUAUUGGGCAAUGGAGGGAACUCUGACCCAGCAACGCCGCGUGAAGGAUGAAGGUUUUCGGAUUGUAAACUUCUGUCGUACGGGACGAAGAAUGACGGUACCGUGCAAGAAAGCCCCGGCUAACUACGUGCCAGCAGCCGCGGUAAUACGUAGGGGGCAAGCGUUGUCCGGAAUGACUGGGCGUAAAGGGAGCGUAGGUGGUUUGGCAAGUUAUAUGUGAAAGCCCACGGCUUAACCGUGGAACUGCAUAUAAAACUGUCAGACUGGAGUGCAGGAGAGGUAAAUGGAAUUCCCAGUGUAGCGGUGGAAUGCGUAGAUAUUGGGAGGAACACCAGAGGCGAAGGCGAUUUACUGGACUGUAACUGACACUGAGGCUCGAAAGCGUGGGGAGCAAACAGG
rnacentral:rRNA from 1 species